GAUGAACGCUAGCGGGAGGCCCAACACAUGCAAGCCGAGCGGUAUUGUUUCUUCGGAAAUGAGAGAGCGGCGUACGGGUGCGUAACACGUGUGCAACCUGCCUUUAUCUGGGGGAUAGCCUUUCGAAAGGAAGAUUAAUACUCCAUAAUAUAUUGAACGGCAUCGUUUAAUAUUGAAAGCUCCGGCGGAUAGAGAUGGGCACGCGCAAGAUUAGCUAGUUGGUGAGGUAACGGCUCACCAAGGCGAUGAUCUUUAGGGGGCCUGAGAGGGUGAUCCCCCACACUGGUACUGAGACACGGACCAGACUCCUACGGGAGGCAGCAGUGAGGAAUAUUGGUCAAUGGGUGCAAGCCUGAACCAGCCAUCCCGCGUGAAGGACGACUGCCCUAUGGGUUGUAAACUUCUUUUGUAUAGGGAUAAACCUACCCUCGAGAGGGUAGCUGAAGGUACUAUACGAAUAAGCACCGGCUAACUCCGUG
rnacentral:rRNA from 1 species